GUACACGCUGUGACUAGCAUAUCAAUAAGCGGAGGAAAAGAAACUAACAAGGAUUCCCCUAGUAACGGCGAGUGAAGCGGGAAGAGCUCAAAUUUGAAAUCUUAAAGGGUUUCCCUUUACGAAUUGUAGUUUAAAGAAGUGUUUUCUGUUGAGGUUUUGGUAAAAGUUCUUUGGAAUAGGACAUCAUAGAGGGUGAGAAUCCCGUAUUUGACCUUUACUUUCAACUUUGUGAUACACUUUCAAAGAGUCGGAUUGUUUGGGAAUGCAGUCCAAAAUGGGUGGUAAAUUUCAUCUAAAGCUAAAUAUUGGCGAGAGACCGAUAGCGAACAAGUACCGUGAGGGAAAGAUGAAAAGAACUUUGAAAAGAGAGUUAAACAGUACGUGAAAUUGUCAAAAGGGAAGCGUUUGACACCAGUGUUGUUUUUCUGAAAAUCAAUUAAAGAACUGUUUAUGCUAAGUUGUUUAGACUUUAUCAGCUAACUGUUUAGUUUUGAGCUUUUCUUUAAUGCACUUUUCAGUUAACAAGUCAACAUCAAUUUCUUUUGCUGUAAAAAAGCUUGAGGAAGGUGGCUUGAGAUUCGUCUUAAGUGUUUAUAGCCUCCUGCCUAUGCAGUCGGAGAGAUUGAGGUCUGCAGCGUAGAUCCUUCGGGGCUAAAUGCAUUUGUGCUAAGUUAUAGCAUUUUAUAGACAACUUGUUGACUAUGAUUUGUCUUGUAGCUUACUCGCUUAUGCUAUUUUACCUACGCUUAGGAUGUUGACGCGCGUGUGUGCGUG
rnacentral:rRNA from 1 species